rnacentral:rRNA from 1 species
CGACCGGGUGAGUAACACGUGACUAACCUACCCCUCCGAGUGGGGGAAUAAACUCCGGGAAACCGGGGGCUAAUACCGCAUAACAUCUUCGGAACGCGAGUUCUGUUGAUCAAAGGAGCAAUUCGCUUGAGGAGGGAGUCGCGGCUGAUUAGCUAGUUGGCGGGGUAAUGGCCCACCAAGGCUUAGAUCGGUAGCCGGCCUGAGAGGGCGCACGGCCACACUGGAACUGAAACACGGUCCAG